AUACCUUAAAUGUAUGAGUAAGGAAAACAAUGAUUUGGGGGUGACGCCCGAAUCCUUACUACUAAUGUAAGAUGAAUUUUUGAGCGGAUAAGGAUCGCCCCUAAGGUGACCCGCCUACUUUGCGGGAUGCUUGGGAGUUGUGAUCUGCCCA
rnacentral:snRNA from 1 species